AGUGAACGCUGGCGGCGUGCCUAAUACAUGCAAGUCGAACGGAGAUUAAGUAGCUUGCUAUUUAAUCUUAGUGGCGCACGGGUGAGUAAUAUAUAGCUAAUCUGCCCUACACUAGAGGACAACAGUUGGAAACGACUGCUAAUACUCUAUACUCCUUCUAAGCAUAAGCUUAGUCGGGAAAGUUUUUCGGUGUAGGAUGAGGCUAUAUCGUAUCAGCUAGUUGGUGAGGUAAUGGCUCACCAAGGCUAUGACGCGUAACUGGUCUGAGAGGAUGAUCAGUCACACUGGAACUGAGACACGGUCCAGACUCCUACGGGAGGCAGCAGUAGGGAAUAUUGCUCAAUGGGGGAAACCCUGAAGCAGCAACGCCGCGUGGAGGAUGACACUUUUCGGAGCGUAAACUCCUUUUCUUGGGAAAGAAUUAUGACGGUACCCAAGGAAUAAGCACCGGCUAACUCCGUGCCAGCAGCCGCGGUAAUACGGAGGGUGCAAGCGUUACUCGGAAUCACUGGGCGUAAAGGACGCGUAGGCGGAUUAUCAAGUCUCUUGUGAAAUCUAACGGCUUAACCGUUAAACUGCUUGGGAAACUGAUAAUCUAGAGUAAGGGAGAGGCAGAUGGAAUUCUUGGUGUAGGGGUAAAAUCCGUAGAGAUCAAGAAGAAUACCCAUUGCGAAAGCGAUCUGCUGGAACUUAACUGACGCUAAUGCGUGAAAGCGUGGGGAGCAAACAGGAUUAGAUACCCUGGUAGUCCACGCCCUAAACGAUGUAUACUAGUUGUUGCUUCGCUAGUCGAGGCAGUAAUGCACCUAACGGAUUAAGUAUACCGCCUGGGGAGUACGGUCGCAAGAUGAAAACUCAAAGGAAUAGACGGGGGACCCGCACAAGCGGUGGAGCAUGUGGUUUAAUUCGAAGAUACGCGAAGAACCUUACCCUGACUGAAUAUCUACCAAAUCAUCCAGAGAUGGAAGAGUGUCUGCCUGCAGAAAUGUUAAGACAGGUGCUGCACGGCUGUCGUCAGCUCGUGUCGUGAGAUGUUGGGUUAGGUCCGCACGAGCGCACCCACGUAUUAGUUG
rnacentral:rRNA from 1 species